AGCUUUGCACAGUGGGAGUAUCGUAGCCAAUGAGGUUUAUCCAAGGAGUGGUUAUUGCUAAUUGAAACUAAACCUGCCAGCCCGGUAUGGUGGAGCAUGCCUGUAAUCCCAGCACUCAGGAGGCUGA
rnacentral:snRNA from 1 species